GACGAACGCUGGCGGCGUGCUUAACACAUGCAAGUCGAACGGAAAGGCCCUGCUUUUGUGGGGUGCUCGAGUGGCGAACGGGUGAGUAACACGUGAGUAACCUGCCCUUGACUUUGGGAUAACUUCAGGAAACUGGGGCUAAUACCGGAUAGGAGCUCCUGCUGCAUGGUGGGGGUUGGAUAGUUUCGGCGGUUGGUGAUGGACUCGCGGCUUAUCAGCUUGUUGGUUGGGUAGUGGCUUACCAAGGCUUUGACGGGUAGCCGAGCUGAGAGGGGGACCGGCCACAUUAGGACUGAGAUGCGGCACAGACUCCUACGGGAGGCAGCGGUGGGGAAUAUUGCACAAUGGGCGGAAGCCUGAUGCAGCCACGCCGCGUGCGGGAUGACGGCAUUCGGGUUGUAAACCGCUUUCGCCUGUGACGAAGCGUGAGUGACGGUAAUGGGUAAAGAAGCACCGGCUAACUACGUG
rnacentral:rRNA from 1 species